GGCCUAUCAGCUUGUUGGUGGGGUAACGGCCUACCAAGGCGACGACGGGUAGCCGGCCUGAGACGGGCGACCGGCCACACUGGGACUGAGACACGGCCCAGACUCCUACGGGAGGCAGCAGUGGGGAAUAUUGCGAAAUGGGCGAAAGCCUGACGCAGCGACGCCGCGUGGGGGAUGAAGGCCUUCGGGUUGUAAACCCCUUUCAGCAGGGACGAAGCGAAAGUGACGGUACCUGCAGAAGAAGCGCCGGCUAACUACGUGCCAGCAGCCGCGGUAACACGUAGGGCGCAAGCGUUGUCCGGAAUUAUUGGGCGUAAAGAGCUCGUAGGCGGUCUGUUGCGUCCGCUUUGAAAUCUCGGGGCUUAACCCCGAGCCUGCAGUGGAUACGGGCAGACUAGAGGUAGGUAGGGGAGAAUGGAAUUCCUGGUGUAGCGGUGAAAUGCGCAGAUAUCAGGAGGAACACCGGUGGCGAAGGCGGUUCUCUGAGCCUUACCUGACGCUGAGGAGCGAAAGCGUGGGGAGCA
rnacentral:rRNA from 1 species